rnacentral:lncRNA from 1 species
GCAUGAGGACCUAUAAAUCCAGUCUGUGUUUAAACUUAAGCUAACUUUUAUUAUUGUGCUGAUAUUUAAAAAAAAUGUUGUGAUGGUAGUUAGGGUUUUGUUGGUAGACACUUAAAGUGAUAUAAAAUGUAAUGAUGGUAGUUAGGAUUUUGUUGGUAGUCAUAUAAAGUUAUUUUGUAGAUAUAUAGUGGGUUGAGCUGUCUCUGCCCCACAGUAAAGAACCCUUGUAAAGGCACAUGCACUCACCUGUGUCUGCUGAGGCCAGGAGGCUACACCUGCGCCUGCCCAGAGGGCACCAGCUUCUUCCCUGGCAGCAGUACUGAAUGUGACACAGGGUUUGAGCCUGAACCCACUAUGCCACCUCCAUGCCAGUGCAGGAACGGUGGAACCUGUUAUUUUGAUGACAAUAAGGCACUUUGCAUUUGCCCCCCCGAAUGGAACGGAGAUUUCUGCGAGACCAGUGUUUAUGGUGUAGUCACAACCUCAGUUGCUAUUGCCCUUGGAGUUACAACGUUUGUGGCUCUUUUCCUGGUUUGCCUUAUAUAUUCUGCAAAAAAGAAGGAGAAAAUUAUGAACACUCUGCAUAGCAUUAAUCUGCCUAUUAGUGUAUCUAACUUCAGUAGGCCCAGCUUCUGGUGAGAAUGAAAAAGUGUAUAAUAAAUAUUGGUGAAUA